AUAAAUCACAACUUGGGGAGAAGGGGCAGGAGUAUCGUGGCAAAUCUGAGGCCAGCUGGUUUACAUAGCAAGACCCUGUCUCAAACAAUUAAAUAAAUAAAAGGCUUGUGGGGUUGUGCCAGGUGAAGACGACCAACUGCAGAUGCAUGAGAAAGGGACAAAACGUAUCUGGCUUCCCACUUGAAACAACGGAGCUCAACAUCUGGAAUCUCUCGUUAUGCACGAGAUCUCAGACAUUUUCCUACGGAUGGGAAAUCAGAAAAGCUGGCUAUCCUAGCUGCUUGUCUACAGUUUCUAGGGCUUAAGGCAAAGAACGCAAACAGAUCCCAGCGUCUCCCUGAAGUUCAAGCUAAGAAAGCCAGAAUUUCUAAAGCCUAAAACCACAGAGACAAGAAAAGGGGAAACCGGCAGAAAGGCACACAAGAAGGAAUACCAGUCAACCAUGCCUAAGGUCAAGGAAAGUUCCCGGAAGGAUUAAAGUGUGCGCAUGCUCCCCACCAUUCAGACCCAUGACCUCAAGAAAGAAGAGAUUCUAAAUCACUGGGAAUGAAGAAUCAUCAAAGGCUUUUACCUCCAAAGUCAGUCUGAUUAAGCUAAAACUAAAUAAAUGUUUCCCUGCCCUGCCAAGCAAAACUGAAAACACAGUGUAAUUAAUAAUACCUGAGAGCUAAUUAAAACUUCCAGCUGACUGGUUUUAUGUCAACUUGGCACAAGGUAGAGUACAGUCAUCUAGGAAGAGGGGGAACCUCAGUUGAGAAAAUGCCCCCUGUCUUGGUGGUGGGCAGCUUUCUUGACUAAUGGGAGGGCCCAGCACACUGUGGGCGGAGCCGCCCUUGGGCAGGUCAGACUGCGGAAAGAAAACUGGCUGAGCAAGCCCUGGAGAGCAAGCCAGUAAGCAGUGUUCCUCCAGGGCUUCUGCUCCAGUUCCUGCCUCCGGGUUCCUCUCUGGCUUGCGUUCCUGGACUGAUUCCUUCAGUGACAGACUAUUGUCUGGAAGAAGAAGAGCCGAUAACACCCUUCCUCCCCAAGUUGCUUUUAGCUGUAAUGUUUUACCACUGCAACAGAAACCCUAACUAAGACACCAAGAAGCAAAGAGCAGAGAAACAGAAGCUACAGCGGCCAAACCUGUCCGUGAUACAGACAUCUGACACUGUGUACGUUUAUAGCCGCAUACAGGACAGUCUGCACACAUACUGCUAAACAAAGGCCACAAUUUGCUAAGAGGGAAGCUUAAGGAUGAAUUAGCUCCUUUAAAACUCUUUACAGCAAAAAGAAUGAAAUAAAAAAAAAGCACCAUACAACUGCC